CCACAGCUGCCCUCGCUCGUUUUACGCCUCUCCCCCUCUCGCUCACGGAACCUUGCCAUGCUCCUCUGUUGAAAGCCAUUCGAAGCCACGGUACCUCCGUCGCUCUCAGUCGCCGAAAGCCAGGUGGCCUCCUCCUACAUCCUCCGUCGCUCUCCUCUGCCUAAAGCCAGGCGCUCUCCGUCGAUCCCCGUUUCCUCUACUGAAAGCCAGGCGCUCUCCUUCGGUCUCCGUCUACUCUGCCAAAAGCCAGGCAGGCCAGUUGGUGACACAAUAUCUCAUUCGGGUUUAAAUUGGAAUGGAAGCAGCACUGCCUUACAUAUCCUAACCGAACAACGUUGCUCGGCAUUCGACGAUUUCCCAACCGGGCAAUGUUGCUCGUGGCAUGUUUCUCCUGCAUUCUAAAAUAAACAUCAUCAUACUUUUAAUUGUAAUUUUAAUAUGUUUUUUUUU